AAAAAAGCUUAAAUCCAGGUAUGGUGGUACAUGCCUUUAAUCCCAGUAUUAUAGGAGACAGAGUCAUGCAGAUCUCUGAGUUCAAGGUCAAUCUACAGAGCAAGUUCCAGGAAAGCCAAGCUUAGGCAGAGAGGGAAUCAGAAAACAUAAAGCUGAUAAUAGAAUAAGGGAGACUUUGUUCCAGCCCCAGCAAGCAGCUUCGGCCAUGUGGCUCUGGCUUUAGAGUGAAAAAUAGAAGGGAAUACUGGGAAAAUUGAUGCUGAUUAGCUGGAGCUAAGAAAUUAGUAGUAAUUAAGAAGAGACCAGCAUCACUGAGGUCAUAGCUUCAUGCUGCAGCUGUAUCUGUUAAUAUGUAAGAGUCACCCAGGUGGUACUAGUUUUGAAGGCAUGAAGGCAUCAUGAAGAACAGCUGAGGAUUGGCAUUGUGAGAGGCCAUGGAAUACCCUUAGUGAAGGGACAGCCCCAGUUGCAGUUGACAGCCCAGGACUGAAGGGGACAUGCAAAGGAGUUGAGACUUGGGACCAUGAAGAGAGCCCAUGAGGGCUAUUGAUGAAGCCUAGUUGCAGCAGAAGAUUCCAGUGUAUAGUAGAUGCCAGUACCAUGGGAUGAUCACCAAGAACAGCAGCAGCAGUGGAGUGGAUCAACCUGAGUUUAGAGUGCUACAGAGGGCAGAGCUGGAGAAAUGGCAUUAGCUCUUUGAAGGAACCCAGAAGAUCAUGUGUAGAUCCCGUACAAUGAAACAAGAACUGUAACAUCAAGUUGUCUUGGAGGCUCCAAGAUGUUUGAGAUGCCAGUGCUGUGGUCUAUCUGCUGAGAAAAGCUGCUAACAGGGAGUGGAAGCAGCCCAGGUGAAAGAAGUUUGUCGCAGUUAACAAAGAUGAAAAAAAAAAAAAGAGUUGGAGAUCUGAACACUGUUUUGACAUUGGACAUAGAGAUACAGUUUGGAAUUUGCCCAGCUAUUUCCUAUCUUGUGUUGGGAAUCACAGUUAAGCGAUUGGAUGAAUCUCAGAAGAGACCUUGACCUUUGGACCUUUAAUACUGUUGAGACUGCUCUAGACGAUGGGGACUUUUGAAGUUGGACAAAAUGUAUAUUUCAUUAUGCUAUGUUUAGGCAUGGCCCCCAUAGACUCAUAUGUUUGGACAAUCCUAUGGGGACCAGGGAGUGGGAUGUGAUGGUUUGUAUACCCUUGGCCCAAGGAGUGGCAUGAUUAGAAGGUGUGGCCCUGUUAGAGUAUGUGUGUCACUGUAGGUGUGGGCUUUAAGACCCUCAUCCUAGCUGCCUGGAAGUCAGUAUUCUGCUAGCAGCUUUCAGAUGAAGAUGUAGAACUCUCAGCUGCUCCUAACACCACGUUUGCAUGGAUGCUACCAUGCUCCUGCCUUGAUGAUAAUGGACUGAAGCUCUAAAGCCACAAGCCAUCCCAGUUAAAUGUUGUCCUUAAAAGAGUUGCCUUGGUCAUGGUGUCUUUUCGCAGCAGUAAAACCCUAAGAGACUUGCAUAGGACUCUACUUUUCAAUGAACUUCUGUUUCUUUCUGUGAAAUCAAGAAGAGUGAUCUUACUGCUUGGCAGUCAUGAUAAUUCUGUCUGUCUGUCUGCUUCCUAUGGCUGUAAAAAGGGUCUCUACAAGGCCAAGCAAUAACUCAGCAAGCCAUGACUUCAAAAAAGAUCACAUAUCAGAGAGUGAUCUAAGGUGGUAUCCAGGCAAGUGGCCUGGAUGGAUGAAGGAAGGUCCCGGUUCUGAAAGCACAUCAGCACAGAACCCAUCGGGAGCAGCUGGCCCAGCCUUCGGACACACCUUAUUAACGGCAACCAUUUAUCACACUUCUGUCUGCCAGAUUUUGUGCUAAGCCCUGGGGCAUUUU
rnacentral:lncRNA from 1 species